AGAGUUUGAUCAUGGCUCAGGACGAACGCUGGCGGCGUGCUUAACACAUGCAAGUCGAACGAUGAAGCCCUUCGGGGUGGAUUAGUGGCGAACGGGUGAGUAACACGUGGGCAAUCUGCCCUGCACUCUGGGACAAGCCCUGGAAACGGGGUCUAAUACCGGAUACUGAUCGCCUUGGGCAUCCUUGGUGAUCGAAAGCUCCGGCGGUGCAGGAUGAGCCCGCGGCCUAUCAGCUUGUUGGUGAGGUAAUGGCUCACCAAGGCGACGACGGGUAGCCGGCCUGAGAGGGCGACCGGCCACACUGGGACUGAGACACGGCCCAGACUCCUACGGGAGGCAGCAGUGGGGAAUAUUGCACAAUGGGCGAAAGCCUGAUGCAGCGACGCCGCGUGAGGGAUGACGGCCUUCGGGUUGUAAACCUCUUUCAGCAGGGAAGAAGC
rnacentral:rRNA from 1 species